GCCUGGGUAGCUCAGUUGGUUAGAGCAUCAUCCUGAUAUGCCAAGGUUGUGGGUUCAAUUCCCAGUCAGGGCA
rnacentral:tRNA from 1 species